rnacentral:lncRNA from 1 species
UACUUGCCCUCUUGGUUCUCUUUACAGAAUUCAUUGGAUGGUGAAUUGCAAAGAUGGAAAAACGAAAGCCAGGUGUCAACAGAUAGGCUUCGGUGUGCAUGCUGGAGUCGGCCAAGGGGCUGGUCAGUCCAGAGGCUGCUGUCCGUAACCCUGCCAGGUUCUGGCUCGGAACCCCGGAGCAGAGAAGAACCCCACGUUCCAUGCUGGUCUCAGGAAGGAGGAUUUGUCAAGGUAAGAGAGUGGGAUUUGUUUUAUUUAACAGCAUUGUUGGCUCGGUUUGUACCUUUUAAAUAUUUAGAGAUGGCGUGGAGGUCUCCAUCUACACUCUUGCCCAGACCCAGCUCAUGCUUGGGUCUACACGGGAGCUCAAGCCUGAACCUGAACUCUGGAGGUCUCAGUCCUCCGAAAACCUGAGCUCUGGAGGUCUCAGUCCCUCGAUAACCUGAUUAGUUGGCUAUUGUGUUUGUGGACAAGUCAAGCUCUACUAGUUAGUACAGAGAGAAAAGGCUGUUUAACUCAAAUCUAGGAAGCUCAUUCUCAAAUUGAGGUUUUUUUAAUCCCAAAGUUGUUUUCUUUUAAACAUUUGUUUAUUUUUAUUUAUCUGGCUGCGCUGGGUUUUAGUGGAGGCAUGUGGGAUUCUUGGUCUUCACUGUGGCCUGUGGGAGCUUUCUAAAGUUAGUAAAUUCGGAAAAUAUGAAAAUUCCAUUUUGUAUUUACAUAUAGAACAUUCUAUGGGGGAAAAAAACCUGAAAGUGAUUCUGUCUCUCUAUGGGCAUAUUAAAGAGGAGUAAACUGGUCUUUUUGUAUUUGACUGAGCCAGAAAGCCAGCAGCUAACUGAAUUAGGCAGGCACUGGGUAGUAUUUGUAUGGUAGAGACUGUGUGAACCCAAAGGCUGCAUUUUAUUGAGCUUCUUAAAGAUGUGAAUUUGCUUUCAAAAGUAUUAAAUUCAAUAUUCGGUCCUGAAGGGAUGAAUUGAAAGCAGAGAAGGUAAGAAAUUAAUACCUGGUAGUUUGUUUCAUUAAAUAAAUCCUGGAGUGUAUAUGAGAUAUCUAUAUCU